ACAGAGACACUCACACAGGGCGAAUGAGGACUGGAGUUAAAUGGUCACCAGCCAAGAAACUAUGGAAAGCCUGGCGAGGUCUGGAACUGAUUCUUCCCCAGCACUUUCAAAGAGAUCAUGGCCUGCCAAUGCCUUGAUGCCAGACUUCCAGCUCCAGAACUGUGCUGCCACAUGCUUUCUCGGGGGUCUCUGGGGAACAAGCCAUGAAGACAGUUGGAGAAGGUGAACAAGCACUGUAAUAUACUCAUGAUACAGUGGAGAAAAAAGUUUGCCGUUCUAUUAGAAUGGAUACCAGCUUGAAGAUACUAUACAAAGGAGAAG